CCUACUAUGCCUACCGGCGGUCCGUUCGGCCCGUCAUCGCCAGACGGCGACAUGGGAGGAAGCCCGGUGAGAUUCCGGCGCGGUCCCGCCACUGUGAGCCCGGCCCCGGCCGGGUGAGUCAGAGACUCCUGCCGUCCGACACCGCCCGGG
rnacentral:ncRNA from 2 species